CGUCGGUAGUGGGGUUGCUAUGUUUCAAUCUCUCAGGAGUGGUUGGCCUUCCUCCGGCGUUCCGAUGAUAGUAGUCUUCCCUUCUCUCAUUACUAGAAGCUUGGUGGGAUACCCCCAUCUGUAUGGGAGAUGGUUAUCUCUGAGACUCGUGGUCACCUCUCGGAAGUCCCGUCUCCUUUUCAAUGUGUAGGAGGAGAUGUCUGC